UAUAUAUAUAUCUUCAAUUUCAUCCUUUUGGUUAAUACUUUGAAUUCAAUUCUUGUGUCCAUAAUUUGCAGUCUUCAACUCUAUCCAUCAGGCAAAAAAUAACCAACAAUGGCUAACAAAAUUCAGCAGCGAUCUUCCUAUAUUUUUCUUCUUUUAUUAGCUACAUUUUUCCCUCUCGCAUAUGGUGAUGUUGGCACUGCUGCUCACUACAGUCCUCCAUACGUACCAAGUGCUUGUAACGGGGAGGAUCUAGGGCAGUUUCCGGCAAACAAUCUUUUUGCGGCGGCGGGAGACGGAAUAUGGAACAAUGGAGCAAGUUGUGGAAGAGAGUACAUAGUGAGGUGCAUUAGUGCAGACGUACCGUCAACUUGCUUUCCAGAUAAGAUCAUUACCGUUAAAAUCGUUGAUUAUGCAGAAAGUUCCGUUUCUAAACCGUCGAGUAGCGGUGCUACUAUUGUACUCUCCGAGGCUGCGUUCCGUCAAAUCGGUCAACUUUCUGCAUCACAAGUUAACGUUGAAUUUCAGCUGAAUUGAUGAAUUCUUUUGUGGAACAUCAAGGCUCAUCAGAAGUUCCUCAUGGUAGAGCAAAGAUUUUUCUUGUGCUGCUAAUUUAUUGAAUUUCAUACUAAUUGAUUGUAACAAUUUGAUGAUAUGGAAUUAUAUCUCAUUAUAAUCCAAUAGAAAAAGUAAUCA